UACAGAGGUCUCAAACGUUGUUCGGAAUCACUGGGCUUAAAGGGCGCGUAGGCGGGCUUGCAAGUCUGCGGUGAAAGCCUCCAGCUCAACUGGAGAAGUGCCGUGGAUACUGCGGGCCUCGAGGAGGGUAGGGGCAUCUGGAACGUUGGGUGGAGCGGUGAAAUGCGUUGAUAUCCAACGGAACUCCGGUGGCGAAGGCGAGGUGCUGGACCCUUUCUGACGCUGAGGCGCGAAAGCCAGGGGAGCGAACGGG
rnacentral:rRNA from 1 species